AAAAUCUCUCUUCGCUAGACUAAAAACAAGGCAUCUAAUGCCUUGUGAGCAUGAAUAUUCAAAUUCUAGAAUCUUAAUAGCUUUGGGGCCAUGCUACUGUUUGGGGCUGUCACUCCAGGAACAGAUGUGAAGACUUCCGAAACAAGAGAGAAGCGAGUAAGAAAACAAAACCAAAAAAUGGUAAUUUUUUUUUUCCUUUCAAAGACAUUCUACCAUGAAGAAGCAUCACUUUCUGAACUGCAUGUUAUCAAGGCAAAUAGUUGUUAGUUUGGUCAGAGUGAAUAUCCAAAUUCUGUUAUGCUAAAUGAGCGAAUGGAAUGAUUGAGUUUACAACCCCCCUACACCUCCUUGCUAUUUUCCCUCAAACCUCACCUCCAUCACAAAGAAUUUGUAAGUUGUUUUUUUUUUUUUUACUUUUGGGUUCUUAAAGCAUAUUAUUAGUAGUAGUGGUAUUAGUGUUGCAAUCUCCUAAAGUCCUUAUUUUCACUCAAAAUUACAAUACAGGGGACUAUGGCCAAUGCUAUGCAGAUGGCCAAAUAGAUAAUAAAGGCUCAGUUCAUGAAUAAUAUCCACUCAGAAAGAGGACAAAAGCAACAGGAAAAAAGAGCCCAAAUUGGACAAAAUGUGCAUGCUAUAUUUAAAAAAAAACACACACGCAAUCAUUGUCAGAGAUCAUUAAGGGUGCCCUGUAGUUUUAAUGAUAUGCCAGUGGCACCAAUUUGAUGUGACUGUUUGCUCUUAUAGUCAAUAAAAAAAGUCAUAACUGCCAUCAAAUUUAAAUUUAAUUUAUUUUCUACACAGCCCUUUCUGUUUUCCUUGUUUUUUUUUUCUUUUAUAACAUUAACACUUUUUUUGUUAAAAAAUGUGUGAAAGAUUAAUUUGUAGAACGAGGGGGCUGUGGGUGCACAGCGCAGGACAGAUGGCGUGGGUGGGACAUGGCAGUUUUCGUCUGCGGCAUCAUUUUGUUGUUGCUGUUGCAAGUGAGCAAAAUAAAGCUAUGCUAGCGCGAUCAUCUCUUUGGGGGCCCCUCGGAUAAGGUGUGUGGCUUUUCUUUACGAGGACCCUGCUGCCUGGGGACACAGCCACCCCCUGUGCCACAGCCAGCCCGUUCAUGAGAAUUCUUAGCCCAAGAGCACUUGAAUUUUAAUUUUUUUUAAAGUUUAUUUGUUUACUUUGAGAGAGAGAGAGAGAGAGAGAGAGAGAGACCGAGCACAAGCAGGGGAGGGGCAGAGAGAGAGGGAAAAGGAGAGGGAGAGAAUCCCAAGCAGAUUCUCUACUUUCAGCCCCAACUUGGGGCUCGAACUCACAAACUGCAAGAUCAUGACCUGACCAGAAACCAAGAGUCGGGUGCUCAACUGACUGAGCCACCCUAGGCGCCCCAGCACUUGAAUUUUAAAAUUGCAUUUAUAUAGAAUUCCACCCAACUUUUGU
rnacentral:lncRNA from 1 species